UACGUAGGGCGCAAGCGUUAAUCGGAAUUACUGGGCGUAAAGCGUGCGCAGGCGGUUUGGUAAGACAGAUGUGAAAUCCCCGGGCUUAACCUGGGAACUGCAUUUGCGACUGCACGGCUAGAGUGUGUCAGAGGGGGGUAGAAUUCCACGUGUAGCAGUGAAAUGCGUAGAUAUGUGGAGGAAUACCGAUGGCGAAGGCAGCCCCCUGGGAUAACACUGACGCUCAUGCACGAAAGCGUGGGGAGCAAACAGGA
rnacentral:rRNA from 1 species